ensembl:misc_RNA Metazoa_SRP Metazoan signal recognition particle RNA
GCCGGGCAUGGUGGUGCGUGCCUGUAGUCCCAGCUACUUGGGAGGCUGAGGCAAGAGAAUCGCUUGAACCCGGGAGAUGGAGGUUGCAGUGAGCUGAGAUCGCACCACUGCGCUCCAGCCUGGGCAACAAAGCGAGACCCUGUCUCAA